rnacentral:tRNA from 9 species
UAGAAAGUAGUAUAAAGGUAGUAUUAAAAGUUUUGGGCUUUUAGGUUUAAGUUCGAGUCUUGACUUUCUAG